rnacentral:rRNA from 1 species
UGGGGAAUAUUGCACAAUGGGCGCAAGCCUGAUGCAGCAACGCCGCGUGAACGAUGAAGGUCUUCGGAUCGUAAAGUUCUGUUGCAGGGGAAGAUAAUGACGGUACCCUGUGAGGAAGCCCCGGCUAACUACGUGCCAGCAGCCGCGGUAAUACGUAGGGGGCUAGCGUUAUCCGGAUUUACUGGGCGUAAAGGGUGCGUAGGUGGUCCUUCAAGUCGGUGGUUAAAGGCUACGGCUCAACCGUAGUAAGCCGCCGAAACUGGAGGACUUGAGUGCAGGAGAGGAAAGUGGAAUUCCCAGUGUAGCGAUGAAAUGCGUAGAUAUUGGGAGGAACACCAGUAGCGAAGGCGGCUUUCUGGACUGCAACUGACACUGAGGCACGAAAGCGUGGGUAGCAAACAGG